GACGAACGCUGGCGGCGUGCUUAACACAUGCAAGUCGAACGGAAAGGCCCUGCUUGCAGGGUACUCGAGUGGCGAACGGGUGAGUAACACGUGGGUGAUCUGCCCUGCACUUCGGGAUAAGCCUGGGGAACUGGGUCUAAUACCGGAUAGGAGCCAUUUUUAGUGUGAUGGUUGGAAAGUUUUUUCGGUGUAGGAUGAGCUCGCGGCCUAUCAGCUUGUUGGUGGGGUAAUGGCCUACCAAGGCGGCGACGGGUAGCCGGCCUGAGAGGGUGGACGGCCACAUUGGGACUGAGAUACGGCCCAGACUCCUACGGGAGGCAGCAGUGGGGAAUAUUGCACAAUGGGCGCAAGCCUGAUGCAGCGACGCCGCGUGGGGGAUGACGGCCUUCGGGUUGUAAACUCCUUUCGCUAGGGACGAAGCUUUUUGUGACGGUACCUAGAUAAGAAGCACCGGCUAACUACGUG
rnacentral:rRNA from 1 species